UUUUAUUUAGAUUUAUUUAUUGAGAUUAAUUUAAUUAUUGUUAGAUAUUUUAUUUAGUGGGAUAUAAGCCCAAUUAUUUGUUCUAGUUAAGGUUUUAGUAUUUAUAUUCUAUUUUUCUAAAUGUUAGGGACAUUUGUUGAUUGAUUGA